UGGAAGGCUCUAGGGGAAUAAAGAAGGAAUGACUUCUAAUUUUUAGGUCCGUAUGAUUUGAAAUGUGUGCACACAAACCCCGAGAAAGCAUUCCUGGAAAUCUCGGCCCAAAAAAGGACGUUUAGUAAUUCUAAAAGGGACUACAGGAUGAAAAACAAUAGUUUUGGCAGUUAAAGUUUGAGAUUCGAUAAUGCCGUAGAUCCGUUUGGUCAUCAGGUGUAACGAGCCACACCCAUGUCUGGUUAGAGUAGUGUGCUAGGCUCAGACUAGAUAAGAAACGGGGAACAAACUGAUGAAAGAAUGAUCAUACCGAGCGAAUUCACUCAGAACUAACAAGAAUGAUAACAUGCUCCGACUGGAGCGGUUUAGGAACUGCUGGAAGGCUCUAGGGGAAUAAAGAUGGAAUGACUUCUAAUUUUUAGGUCCGUAUGAUUUGAAAUACUUGCACACAAACCACGCGAAAGCGUUCCUGGAAAUCUCAGCCCAAAAAAGGACGUUUAGUAAUUCUAAAAGGGACUACAGGAUGAAAAACAAUAGUUUUGGCAGUUAAAGUUUGAGAUUCGACAGUGCCGUAGAUCCGUUUGGUCAUCAGGUAUUACGAGCCACACCCAUGUCUAGCUAGAAUAGUGUGCUAGGCUCAGGCUAGAGAAGAAACGGGGAACAAACUGAUGAAAGAAUGAUCAAACCGAGGGAAUUCACUCAGAACUAACAAUAAUGAUAACGUGCUCCGACUGGUGCGGUUUAGGAACUGCUGGAAGGCUCUAGGGGAAUAAAGAUGGAAUGACUUCUAAUUUUUAGGUCCGUAUGAUUUGAAAUACUUGCACACAAACCGCGCGAAAGCGUUCCUGGAAAUCUCAGCCCAAAAAAGGACGUUUAGUAAUUUUAAAAGGGACUAUAGGAUGAAAAACAAUAGUUUUGGCAAUUAAAGUUUGAGAUUCGACGGUGUCGUAGAUCCGUUUGGUCAUCAGGUGUUACGAGCCACACCCAUGUCUAGCUAGAAUAGUAUGUCAGGCUCAGGUUAGAGUAGAAACGGGGAACAAACUGAUGAAAGAAUGAUCAUACCAAGGGAAUUCACUCAGAACUAUCAAGAAUGAUAACGUGCUCCGACUGGAGUGAUUUAGGAACUGCUGGAAGGCUCUAGGGGAAUAAAGAUGGAAUGACUUCUAAUUUUUACGUCCGUAUGAUUUGAAAUACUUGCACACAAAUCACGCAAAAGCGUUCCUGGAAAUCUCAGCCUAAAAAAGGACGUUUAGUAAUUCUAAAAGGGACUACAGGAUGAAAAACAAUAGUUUGGGCAGUUAAAAUUUGAGAUUCGACGGUGCCGUAGAUCCGUUUGGUCAUCAGGUGUUACGAGCGACACCCUUGUCUAGCUAGAAUAGUGUGUUAGGCUCAGACUAGAGAAGAAACGGGGAACAAAGUGAUGAAAGAAUGAUCAUACCGAGGGAAUUCACUCAGAACUAACAAGAAUGAUAACGUGCUCCGACUGGAGCGGUUUAGUAACUGCUGGAAGGCUCUAGGGGAAUGAAGAUGGAAUGACUUCUAAUUUUUAGGUCCGUAUGAUUUGAAAUACAUGCACACAAACCCUGAGAAAGCGUUCCUGGAAAUCUCGGUCGAAAAAAGGAUGUUUAAUAAUUCUAAAAGGGACUACCGGAUGAAAAACAAUAGUUUUGGCAGUUAAAGUUUGUGAUUCGAUGGUGCCGUAGAUCUGUUUGGUCAUCAGGUGUUACGAGCCACACCCAUGUCUAUCUAGAAUAGUGUGUUAGGCUCAGGCUAGAGCAGAAACGGGGAACAGACUUAUGAAAGAAUGAUCAUACCGAGGGAAUUCACUCAGAACUAACAAGAAUGAUAACGUGCUCCGACUGGCGCGGUUUAGGAACUGCUGGAAGGCUCUAGGGGAAUAAAGAUGGAAAGACUUCUAAUUUUUAGGUCCGUAUGAUUUGAAAUACUUGCACACAAACCGCACGAAAGCGUUCCUGGAAAUCUCAGCCUAAAAAGGAUGUUUAGUAAUUCUAAAAGGGACUACAAGAUGAAAAAUAAUAGUUUGGGCAGUUAAAAUUUGAGAUUCGACGAUGCCGUAGAUCCGUUUGGUCAUCAGGUGUUAUGAGCCACACCCAUGUCUAGCUAGAAUAGUGUGUUAGGCUCAGGCUAGAGAAGAAACGGGGAACAAACUGAUGAAAGAAUGAUCAUACCGAGGGAAUUCACUCAGAACUAACAAGAAUGAUAACGUGCUCCGACUGGAGCAGUUUAGAAACUGCUGGAAGGCUCUAAUGGAAUAAAGAUGGAAUGCCUUCAAAUUUCUAGGUCCGUAUGAUUUGAAAUACUUGCACACAAACCGCUCGAAAGCGUUCCUGGAAAUCUCAGCCCAAAAAAGGACGUUUAGUAAUUCUAAAAGGGACUACAGGAUGAAAAACAAUAGUUUUGGCAGUUAAAGUUUGAGAUUCGAUGGUGCCGUAGAUCCGUUUGGUCAUCAGGUGUAACGAGCCACACACAUGUCUAGCUAGAGUAGUGUGCUAGGCUCAGACUAGAGAAGAAACGGGGAACAAAGUGAUGAAAGAAUGAUCAUACCGAGGGAAUUCACUCAGAACUUACAAGAAUGAUAACGUGCUCCGACUGGAGCGCUUUAGUAACUGCUGGAAGGCUCUAGGCGAAUAAAGAUGGAAUGACUUCUAAUUUUUAGGUCCGUAUGAUUUGAAAUACUUGCACACAAACCACGCAAAACCGUUCCUAGAAAUCUCGGUCGAAAAAAGGACGUUUAGUAAUUCUAAAAGGGACUACAGGAUGAAAAACAAUAGUUUUGGCAGUUAAAGUUUGAGAUUCGAUGGUGCCGUAGAUCCGUUUGGUCAUCAGGUGUUACGAGCCACACCCAUGUCUAGCUAGAGUAGUGUGCUAGGUUCAGACUAGAGAAGAAACGGGGAACAAAGUGAUUAAAGAAUGAUCAUACCGAGGGAAUUCACUCAGAACUAACAAGAAUGAUAACGUGCUCCGACUGGAGCGGUUUAGGAACUGCUGGAAGGCUCUAGGGGAAUAAAGAUGGAAUGACUUCUAAUUUUUACGUCCGUAUGAUUUGAAAUACAUGCACACAAACCACGCAAAAGCGUUCCUGGAAAUCUCAGCCUAAAAAAGGACGUUUAGUAAUUCUAAAAGGGACUACAGGAUGAAAAAUAAUAGUUUGGGCAGUUAAAAUUUGAGAUUCGACGCUGCCGUAGAUCCGUUUGGUCAUCAG
rnacentral:lncRNA from 1 species